GUCAGAGGCGAUGAAGGACGUGCUAAUCUGCGAUAAGCGUCGGUAAGGUGAUAUGAACCGUUAUAACCGGCGAUUUCCGAAUGGGGAAACCCAGUGUGUUUCGACACACUAUCAUUAACUGAAUCCAUAGGUUAAUGAGGCGAACCGGGGGAACUGAAACAUCUAAGUACCCCGAGGAAAAGAAAUCAACCGAGAUUCCCCCAGUAGCGGCGAGCGAACGGGGAGCAGCCCAGAGCCUGAAUCAGUGUGUGUGUUAGUGGAAGUGUCUGGAAAGGCGCGCGAUACAGGGUGACAGCCCCGUACACAAAAAUGCACAUGCUGUGAGCUCGAUGAGUAGGGCGGGACACGUGGUAUCCUGUCUGAAUAUGGGGGGACCAUCCUCCAAGGCUAAAUACUCCUGACUGACCGAUAGUGAACCAGUACCGUGAGGGAAAGGCGAAAAGAACCCCGGCGAGGGGAGUGAAAAAGAACCUGAAACCGUGUACGUACAAGCAGUGGGAGCACGCUUAGGCGUGUGACUGCGUACCUUUUGUAUAAUGGGUCAGCGACUUAUAUUCUGUAGCAAGGUUAACCGAAUAGGGGAGCCGAAGGGAAACCGAGUCUUAACUGGGCGUUAAGUUGCAGGGUAUAGACCCGAAACCCGGUGAUCUAGCCAUGGGCAGGUUGAAGGUUGGGUAACACUAACUGGAGGACCGAACCGACUAAUGUUGAAAAAUUAGCGGAUGACUUGUGGCUGGGGGUGAAAGGCCAAUCAAACCGGGAGAUAGCUGGUUCUCCCCGAAAGCUAUUUAGGUAGCGCCUCGUGAAUUCAUCUCCGGGGGUAGAGCACUGUUUCGGCAAGGGGGUCAUCCCGACUUACCAACCCGAUGCAAACUGCGAAUACCGGAGAAUGUUAUCACGGGAGACACACGGCGGGUGCUAACGUCCGUCGUGAAGAGGGAAACAACCCAGACCGCCAGCUAAGGUCCCAAAGUCAUGGUUAAGUGGGAAACGAUGUGGGAAGGCCCAGACAGCCAGGAUGUUGGCUUAGAAGCAGCCAUCAUUUAAAGAAAGCGUAAUAGCUCACUGGUCGAGUCGGCCUGCGCGGAAGAUGUAACGGGGCUAAACCAUGCAC
rnacentral:rRNA from 1 species